CCUACGGGAGGCAGCAGUGGGGAAUAUUGCACAAUGGGGGAAACCCUGAUGCAGCGACGCCGCGUGAGUGAAGAAGUAUUUCGGUAUGUAAAGCUCUAUCAGCAGGGAAGAAAUAAAGUCCUUCGGACUUUGGACGGUACCUGACUAAGAAGCCCCGGCUAACUACGUGCCAGCAGCCGCGGUAAUACGGAGGAGGCAAGCGUUAUCCGGAUUUACUGGGUGUAAAGGGAGGGUAGACGGCAGCGCAAGUCUGGAGUGAAAUCCCAUGGCUUAACCAUGGAACUGCUUUGGAAACUGUGCAGCUGGAGUGCAGGAGAGGUAAGCGGAAUUCCUAGUGUAGCGGUGAAAUGCGUAGAUAUUAGGCGGAACACCAGUGGCGAAGGCGGCUUACUGGACUGUAACUGACGUUGAGGCUCGAAAGCGUGGGGAGCAAACAGGAUUAGAUACCCGUGUAGUC
rnacentral:rRNA from 1 species